UACGGAGGGUGCGAGCGUUGUCCGGAAUUACUGGGCGUAAAGGGCCAGUAGGCGGCCAACUAAGUCACACGUGAAAUCCCCAGGCUUAACCUGGGAACUGCGUGUGAUACUGGAUGGCUUGAAUUCGGGAGAGGGAUGCAGAAUUCCAGGUGUAGCGGUGAAAUGCGUAGAUAUCUGGAGGAAUACCGGUGGCGAAGGCGGCAUCCUGGACCGACAUUGACGCUGAACGGCGAAAGCUAGGGGAGCAAACGGG
rnacentral:rRNA from 1 species